UACGUAGGUGGCAAGCGUUGUCCGGAUUUACUGGGCGUAAAGGAUGCGUAGGCGGACAAUUAAGUCAGAUGUGAAAUACCCGAGCUUAACUUGGGUGCUGCAUUUGAAACUGGGUGUCUAGAGUGCAGGAGAGGUAAGUGGAAUUCCUAGUGUAGCGGUGAAAUGCGUAGAGAUUAGGAAGAACACCAGUGGCGAAGGCGACUUACUGGACUGUAACUGACGCUGAGGCAUGAAAGCGUGGGGAGCAAACAGG
rnacentral:rRNA from 1 species